AUUGAACGCUGGCGGCAUGCUUUACACAUGCAAGUCGAACGGUAACAGGGAGCUUGCUCCGCUGACGAGUGGCGAACGGGUGAGUAAUGCGUCGGAACGUGCCGAGUAGUGGGGGAUAACGCAUCGAAAGGUGUGCUAAUACCGCAUACGUACUGAGGUAGAAAGUGGGGGACCUUCGGGCCUCACGCUAUUCGAGCGGCCGACGUCUGAUUAGCUAGUUGGUGAGGUAAAGGCUCACCAAGGCGACGAUCAGUAGCGGGUCUGAGAGGAUGAUCCGCCACACUGGGACUGAGACACGGCCCAGACUCCUACGGGAGGCAGCAGUGGGGAAUUUUGGACAAUGGGCGCAAGCCUGAUCCAGCCAUGCCGCGUGUCUGAAGAAGGCCUUCGGGUUGUAAAGGACUUUUGUCCGGGAGCAAAUGCUGGUGGCUAACAUCCACCGGAGCUGAGAGUACCGGAAGAAUAAGCACCGGCUAACUACGUGCCAGCCGCCGCCGUAACAC
rnacentral:rRNA from 1 species